GCUAUAUUUAUGUGGAUACACAAGGAAAUACUGUGCGAUUUAUUUUUCACAAUAUUUUGUAGUUAGCGUUCAUGUAAAGACCUAAUAUGCUAAUUUAACCAAAAUCAUGUAAAACCAGUGAAGCUUUUUACAGUUUGAGCAACAAAGAAAAAGAACAAGAGGACCUGGAGCGAGAGGAUUUUUGAUUCUUGGGAAAGGGCAAAAAGAUCUGCAAAAGUAAAAGCUUGUGUCUAACUCGAGCCAGGCCAAACCAGCCAAACUCUGACAGUUUGACCUUCCUCAGAGGUCACUCCUAUUCUUACAGCAGCCAGCCCAGCACGGCCUCCUGCUUCAGCACAGGCCAGCCCUGUAUAACUGAUCACACCGCUAUCCAGGCUCAUUCUGCAGAGAUGUGGGAAUGAAAGGUCCGAUUAGGGCCUGCUGGAAGUAUUCAGCACACAGUCGCUACCCCGCCCGGCCCAUCACUCCAGUCGGCGGCCCCCUUCUAACCAGCCCCUGCUCCCCUCCGUCCUGCGCUCCUCAGAGCUGUGAUUGGCAUGUGAAUUACAGUGUGUGGUGAUGAUAAUAAGAGUGCUAACCGGGGCCAGGCCUGCGCCUUCGAGCCAGCAGCCAAUCCCAGCUGGCACAGCCUGAAAGACAACCGCUGCCACCAU